GGAGAAGCAAAGUGAUGAGCAUUUCUGGCUGGAGCCCCAAAGAGGCACGCGUGUGGGUGCGCGUAUGUGUGUAUCUGUGUCUUUGUGCGUGCACGUGUAUGUUUGGGAGUACGAGUGAGUGUGACUGUUUGUAGGGAACUAGUUAUGUGCCUGCUUCUAGACCAUGACAGUCAAACUGAUAAGAUCUGAUUGCUUC
rnacentral:snoRNA from 1 species